UAAACUGCAAAGUGACAUGAAAAUUAGCAUGAACUGUUGCGGAGACAAUGGCUCCAGAGCUCCAGGUGGCAGGAUUGCCACAGUGCCUUGGAGGAGGGGAGAAUGACAGCGCUGCUGGGAGCCCAAGGGGGGUUUGCUCUUGGCGGAGGGUGUGAGGUGAAGAGAGCAGGAAAAGCGGGUCAGAUGCUGGCAGGGUUUCUGGGGUGCCCUGCUUCAUGCAAUCAGGAGCAGAUAAAAGCAGGAGUGGUGGACUUUACGUGAACACUUCCGGACACCCAGACGCACAUCCUCACGUUCUGAGAAUGCUUCUCCAGUGAGCAGAGUAAUGGGGCAGGCUGCACUGCGUGUGGGAUCUUAGUUCCCCGACCAGGAUCAAACCUGUGCCCCCCACAGUGGAAGCAUGGAGUCUUAACCACUGGACCACCAGGGAAGUCCCUCCAUCAUGUCGUUUAAGAGACCUAUCAUAUUCCUUUCUAAGCCUUCAUCUUUUCACACUGGACUCAUUAUUUUAUCAUUCUGGCCACAGUAGUGGGGGGGGGGUGGCUUUCCAUCCCUUGACCAUUUUUCUUUUUUUGCAAUUCUCCAGACUCUUGUAUGUAGGAGAAGUACUACUAAAUUUUACCCAUGCAGCCCUUUUCCUGCAGAUGUCUUUGACUGACAGAAACUGGUCCAGGCAGAUAGCAAGAGCAGGGAUGGUAUGAAGACAGACCACAGGCACUUCACAGAAUGAAUUAUACCAAAAAUGAUGAGGAAAAUUGGUUUGGAGCACGGCUGGGAUUGUAAGCUGCUCACCAUCAAUUCAUUCUUUAACCUGUUGGAAUUUGGCUUCCACCCCCAACCUGUCACUGACACUGCAUCCUGAAAGAUCACCAAGGACCAGCAAAUCGGUAAAGGCUGUGCAAUUCAACCUCAGCCUCCUCAUCCUUCUGUGCAAUUUCAUAUCCAGCUAUCAAGAAAGAAUUAUGAAUGGGAGAACUACUACCUUAUAAAGAAGAGACCCUGAUUGAUAACCUCAUAUAAUUCAGACCUUGGACGGGAGAAGAAUGGGCCCCUAGGUCCCCAGAGCCACAUUUGAUUUACCCCAGGGCCUGCAUUAUGGACAUUUGCUUUCUUAGUGAAUUGUAAUUACUUGCAAAAUAAAGCUCAC